CAUGCAGCAGUGGGGUCCCUCAGCCUGGCCUGCGGGAUGAGGCCCAAACCAGCUCUCUGACAUCCCUUGAGGGGUUCCAGGGGCGCAGGCUAGGCUGAGGGACCCCACCGGUGUGCA
rfam:Myotis brandtii contig133507, whole genome shotgun sequence.